rnacentral:ncRNA from 1 species
GGGCGAGAGUGCGACUAAUACAACACCGGCAAGCUGCCGGGAAUACGUCCGCCGUCUUGUUGCGGUUUUGAGCUCUCGCCCACCCCGUC